rnacentral:rRNA from 1 species
GAUUCUGGCUCAGGAUGAACGCUAGCGACAGGCUUAACACAUGCAAGUCGAGGGGCAGCACGGGAGUAGCAAUGCAACUGGUGGCGACCGGCGCACGGGUGAGUAACGCGUAUGCAACCUACCUAUCGAGAGGGGAAUAACCCGGCGAAAGUCGGACUAAUACCGCAUAAAACAGGGGCACCGCAUGGUGAUAUUUGUUAAAGAGAUUCGCUGAUAGAUGGGCAUGCGUUCCAUUAGGUAGUUGGUGAGGUAACGGCUCACCAAGCCGACGAUGGAUAGGGGAACUGAGAGGUUGGUCCCCCACACUGGUACUGAGACACGGACCAGACUCCUACGGGAGGCAGCAGUGAGGAAUAUUGGUCAAUGGGCGGGAGCCUGAACCAGCCAAGUCGCGUGAAGGAAAGAAGGAUCUAUGGUUCGUAAACUUCUUUUGCAGGGGAAUAAAGUGCAGGACGUGUCCUGUUUUGUAUGUACCCUGAGAAUAAGGAUCGGCUAACUCCGUGCCAGCAGCUGC